AUACGUAGGGAGCGAGCGUUGUCCGGAAUUACUGGGUGUAAAGGGAGCGUAGGCGGGAGUGCAAGUCAGAUGUGAAAUACAUGGGCUCAACCCAUGGGCUGCAUUUGAAACUGCAUUUCUUGAGUGAAGUAGAGGUAAGCGGAAUUCCUGGUGUAGCGGUGAAAUGCGUAGAUAUCAGGAGGAACACCGGUGGCGAAGGCGGCUUACUGGGCUUUUACUGACGCUGAGGCUCGAAAGCGUGGGGAGCGAACAGGAUUAGAUACCCUGGUAGUCCACGCUGUAAACGAUGAUUACUAGGUGUGGGGGGACUGACCCCUUCCGUGCCGCAGUUAACACAAUAAGUAAUCCACCUGGGGAGUACGGCCGCAAGGUUGAAACUCAAAUGAAUUGACGGGG
rnacentral:rRNA from 1 species